rnacentral:rRNA from 1 species
GAUGAACGCUGACAGAAUGCUUAACACAUGCAAGUCUACUUGAACUUCGGUUUGGGUGGCGGACGGGUGAGUAACGCGUAAAGAACUUGCCUCACAGUUAGGGACAACAUUUGGAAACGAAUGCUAAUACCUGAUAUUAUGAUUUUAGGGCAUCCUAGGAUUAUGAAAGCUAUAUGUGCUGUGAGAGAGCUUUGCGUCCCAUUAGCUAGUUGGAGAGGUAACGGCUCACCAAGGCGAUGAUGGGUAGCCGGCCGGAGAGGGUGAACGGCCACAAGGGGACUGAGACACGGCCCUUACUCCUACGGGAGGAAGCAGUGGGGAAUAUUGGACAAUGGACCAAAAGUCUGAUCCAGCAAUUCUGUGUGCACGAUGACGUUUUUCGGAAUGUAAAGUGCUUUCAGUUGGGAAGAAAAAAAUGACGGUACCAACAGAAGAAGUGACGGCUAAAUACGUG